rnacentral:lncRNA from 1 species
UUUUGCCUUCAAUAAAGAGCUAAGCUGUGACUCCUGCCUUAAAAUUCUGUCAAAAUUGUGAAUGCUGGUUUUGAAUUACUUUGCUACCUGAAGAUUGUUGUCAAAGUGACUGUUUCUUCUAAGGAAAGGAGAGCAUAGCUGAAAGCAAGAAUUCAAAGGAAAUAGAACUGUGAGUGAA